CAAUAUAAGUGAUGGCGACCGGCGCACGGGUGAGUAACACGUAUCCAACCUGCCGAUAACUCGGGGAUAGCCUUUCGAAAGAAAGAUUAAUACCCGAUGGUAUAAUAAAACCGCAUGGUUUAAUUAUUAAAGAAUUUCGGUUAUCGAUGGGGAUGCGUCCCAUUAGGCAGUUGGUGAGGUAACGGCUCACCAAACCUUCGAUGGAUAGGGGUUCUGAGAGGAAGGUCCCCCACAUUGGAACUGAGACACGGUCCAA
rnacentral:rRNA from 1 species